rnacentral:rRNA from 1 species
UAAUACAGAGGUCCCAAGCGUUGUUCGGAUUCAUUGGGCGUAAAGGGUGCGUAGGUGGCGCCGUAAGUCGGGUGUGAAAUUUCGGAGCUUAACUCCGAAACUGCAUUCGAUACUGCGGUGCUUGAGGACUGGAGAGGAGACUGGAAUUCAUGGUGUAGCAGUGAAAUGCGUAGAGAUCAUGAGGAAGACCAGUGGCGAAGGCGGGUCUCUGGACAGUUCCUGACACUGAGGCACGAAGGCCAGGGGAGCAAACGGGAUUAGAUACCCCGGUAGUCCUGGCAGUAAACGGUGCACGUUUGGUGUGGGAGGAUUCGACCCCUUCCGCGCCGGAGCUAACGCGUUAAACGUGCCGCCUGGGGAGUACGGUCGCAAGAUUA